ACAGGGAUUCUUAACAGGAGAAGGGGAAUGGAAGAGAUCAGGGGUGCUUCAUGGGAGCAGGAAUCCUCUUGUCAUUGCCAGGUUUGAGAUGGAAGAAGAGGAGAACAACCAAGGAAUGCAGGCUGCCUCAAGGAGCUGCAAAAGCCAGGAGGUGACUUCUCCCCAGUGCUUACAGAAAGAAAUGAAGCCUAAAACCUUGAUUUUAACCCUGUGAAAUGCAUGGCAGACUUUGACCUACAGAUGUGAACAAAAAUUUUGGUGGACAAGGAUGUGGGCUCUGAAAUCCUACAAUUGCGAGCAAUGGGGGAGCAAUUCCAUCAGCCACACAGCUCCUAAGUGUCACUUUUAGCAGAAGCAACUUGGAAAAGUCAGACAUGAAGAAUGUAGCCAAGACGUCCUGAGAGAGAAGUUCCAGGUCCUUAACAAGCAUAGUUCCCUUUAUAUCAGCAUAACUAAUAAACUCUGCUGUGUUUGAGAACGCUAAA